rnacentral:rRNA from 1 species
GUACUCGAGUGGCGAACGGGUGAGUAACACGUGGGUGAUCUGCCCUGCACUUCGGGAUAAGCUUGGGAAACUGGGUCUAAUACCGGAUAGGAGCCAUCUUUAGUGUGGUGGUUGGAAAGUUUUUUCGGUGUAGGAUGAGCUCGCGGCCUAUCAGCUUGUUGGUGGGGUAAUGGCCUACCAAGGCGGCGACGGGUAGCCGGCCUGAGAGGGUGUACGGCCACAUUGGGACUGAGAUACGGCCCAGACUCCUACGGGAGGCAGCAGUGGGGAAUAUUGCACAAUGGGCGCAAGCCUGAUGCAGCGACGCCGCGUGGGGGAUGAAGGCCUUCGGGUUGUAAACUCCUUUCGCUAGGGACGAAGCUUUGUUGUGACGGUACCUAGAUAAGAAGCACCGGCUAACUACGUGCCAGCAGCCGCGGUAAUACGUAGGGUGCGAGCGUUGUCCGGAAUUACUGGGCGUAAAGGGCUCGUAGGUGGUUUGUCGCGUCGUCUGUGAAAUUCUGGGGCUUAACUCCGGGCGUGCAGGCGAUACGGGCAUAACUUGAGUGCUGUAGGGGUAACUGGAAUUCCUGGUGUAGCGGUGAAAUGCGCAGAUAUCAGGAGGAACACCGAUGGCGAAGGCAGGUUACUGGGCAGUUACUGACGCUGA